GACGAACGCUGGCGGCGUGCUUAACACAUGCAAGUCGAACGGCAAGGCCCUGCUUUUGUUGGGUGCUCGAGUGGCGAACGGGUGAGUAACACGUGAGUAACCUGCCCAUGACUUGGUAAUAACUUCAGGAAACUGGUGCUAAUACCUGAUAGGAGCUCCUGCUGCAUGGUGGGGGUUGGAAAUUUUCGGCGGUUGGGGAUGGACGCCCGGCUUAUCAGCUUGUUGGUGGGGUAGUGGCUUACCAGGCCUUUGAUGGGUAGCCGGCCGGAGAGGGUGACCAGCCACCUUGGGCCUGAGAUACGGCCCAGACUCCUACGGGAGGCAGCAGUGGGGAAUCUUGCACAAUGGUCGGAAGCCUGAUGCAGCGACCCCGCGUGCGGGAUGACGGCCUGCGGGUUAUAAACCGCUUUCGCCUGUGACGAAGCGUGAAUGACGGUAAUGGGUAAAGAAGCACCGGCUAACUACGUG
rnacentral:rRNA from 1 species